CCCUUAGACGUUCUGGGCCGCACGCGCGCUACACUGACACAGGCAACGAGCUUUCCUUUACCGAAAGGUAUGGGUAAUCUUUUGAAACUGUGUCGUGCUGGGGAUAGAUCCUUGCAAUUUUUGAUCUUAAACGAGGAAUUCCUAGUAAGCGCGAGUCAUCAACUCGCGUUGAUUACGUCCCUGCCCUUUGUACACACCGCCCGUCGCUACUACCGAUUGAAUGGUUUAGUGAGACCCUCGGAUCCGUCCCGGCGCGGCCGUUCGCGGCCGCGCCGGCGCGCGGAGAAGACGGUCGAACUUGAUCAUUUAGAGGAAGUAAAAGUCGUAACA
rnacentral:rRNA from 1 species